UUUUCAAUAAAUGUUUGUUAAACGACAUAUGUGUGACCACUUUCUCUCCUUCGUGAUCUUUAUGUUAAAGUCUAUUAUGAUUGAUUUAAUAUAGUUUAACCAGCAUUCUUGUGCUUUUGUCUGUAAUUUGGUAAAGAAUGACAAAGAAUUAUAAACGUCAGCAAAAAGCAAGCAAACUUGUCGUUAUGUGCAUGGAAAUCCAAGAUAUUUAACAUAAAAAUUUAUGAAACAAUAAGAGAAUUCAGCAAGAAUCAAUGUUAAUGUAUAAGACCCAACAGAUUUCCUAUAAACAUCCACCCCUGGAGCACCUGUGCAGACCCUCAGUAGAAUCUGCACACUGGGCCCCAGGCGCGCCAGGAUGGGGCUCAGGGGUUGGUGGGUCCGGCGGCUGUAAAGGAACAGGGUGGAGGUCCCAGGUUGAAAAAUUGUAAAAUUAUAAUUUUACAGCUAUAUAAUUUAACUACUUCAGUCGUCAUGUCUUUUUCUUUUUACAAAGUCAAUUUUCCUACCUAACUCCAAAUUUUUUUCACACCAUCUAAGUAAUAUUUUAAUAUUUUCCAUAUCCAAUCCGUAUUCAAAUUUCCCCAAUUACCUCCAAAUGACUUAUGAAAAAAAUGCUAUUUUAAUCGGGAGCCCAAUAGCGGACUACCCUUUGCAUUUGACAGCAGAGUUCAGGCUUAACCCUUAACCUCUUCGGGCUCGGAGGACCCUGGGCAGGAGAGAUUUAAGAACACCGUCCUCCCGCUUUCGCGGAAAGGCCAAAAGUGACUUGAAAUGUAGACGCGGAGGCCUAUGGGAAAUGUAGUUUUAAAUAGGUGAGGUUCACCGCCUGGACUCUGGGAAGGGGACGCCACGCUCCUUCUGCGCAUGUGCAGCCGUAGCCUCCUCGUUUGUCUUCUCAGGACUCCAGAGAACCGUUGGGGAACUUUGGGGUGUGCUCGGAAAAUGCAGGAGCUUCAGAGCAGAGACAAGAGCCCAGAAAGGAGCAGAUGCUAGAUUUGCAAGAUCAGAAGCAGGUCUUGAUCCUCCUGCCCAGAAUGAACCAGACUUGAUGAUGCCACCUUCAGGAGCCACCACACUGUGUGACAGUGGGGCAUUUGGGCCGUCCCUGGGAAGUACAGAUGCGCUGCUGUCACACAUGUCCACCACCACAUGUGACAUUAGUGACGUUAUCCUGAUGUCACAGGAUCCAAGAAUGAUGAUCUGUGAAGAGUUUUCCAAGGUCACCUACUUCUAACUCUUUUGAAAGAUUUAAAGACAUUGGGCCUGAAAAUUUCAGUGACUUGUCCAGGGAAACGCAGUUUGUGACAGUUCACUCUCUCACAGGUAAGUUACCAAAAGCAUCUAUCGAAAGGGCCUUUUGAGAAAUACUUCCCAGCUGAAAUGAACAAUUACAAAUUCCUGCCUUAAAUCCUCCAUCUCUUUUACUAGGCUUUCCGUGGAUUGUGUAUACCAGGGGUUGAAUAAUAUUACUGAGAAAAAUAGAUAAAUGAUGCAUACUGAGCAUUUUUCUGCUAAGUUAACUUUAAUGAAGGAAUAGUGUCUUGUCGUUUGGCGUACUUUAAUUCAACUGAUCGGUUGUUUUUAUUUCUUUCUGUUAUCCAGAAGGACGCAUGCGUUAUUGUUAAAUCAAUCGAGUAAAGUUUAUGUUCACUCAGUAAAAAACUGCAGAUUUCAGCUCCAUGGUCAUUUCAGAAUCACACAAAGACAGGUGUUGCUGCCUGUCCAUGAUCCUUCUUGUGCCUUUUCAAGGCCCAGAGGGCCCUGUGCCUAUGGGGAGGAUGAUCCCCAACUGGGGUGCUGAGAUUUGAGGAGGUGAAUCUAAGAGCUGUAAGACAGCUAAAUCUCAGGACCCCUGUCUUCUUUCUGUCCCCUCAGCUGAACCACAGUCCUCUGUACUCGCCCAGGAGCCACAGAGAGUGAACAUCCCUCAGGUGAGCUCUUUAUUCAUUCCCCACUUUAUAUUGUAAUGGAUUUAUAAGGUUUAGCAGGAUCCAUGCAUUAAAGGAAAAGGAGAAGUUGAAAUAGUAGAAAUCAAGUCAGUCUUGAGGAAAAAUAUAGCGUGUUUUACUAUUAAUUGUGAUGUUGGCUGUUAGCUUUGAGUGGGUAACCUUGUCAGGGUAAGUAGUUUCCCACUAAGCUACCUGUUUCAAUCUCUUUACUUGUGAUUGGGCUAUUCAGAUUCUCUGUUUCUUCUUGAUUCAGUUUUGGGAAGUUGUAUGAGUCUUAGAAUUUAU
rnacentral:lncRNA from 1 species